UGGAGUAUAGCCAAGAGGAAAGGCAUCAGUUUUUGAUACUGAUAUGCAAAGGUUCGAAUCCUUUUACUCCAA